rnacentral:tRNA from 1 species
GGCGCUGUGUCCGAGUGGUUAAGGAGAUUGCCUCGAAAGCAAUUGGGCAUUGCCCGCGCAAGUUCGAAUCUUGUCGGCGUCG